UAUCACGUGACAUAGCACGCAAUGUAAUGGCGGGCCAUUUGUUUGCUGAAAAGAGAACAAAAUGAAGGAAACGACCUUCGUGGCCAUAUGUGCUGUUCCCGAGCUGUACAAUACUUCUAAAACAGGAGCAGGCUUGGCGGACUUUUGAGUGAGGACCUUGGCAUACCUGGCUGAUGGUGAAGUCUGCGGCGCAGUUCGGCUGGUAUGUGGAUGGCACGAUGAGAUAAGCUCCACGUGGAAGAGCGCAGGACAAGCUGACAUCCUGAGUGUAGCAGUGGGGAACACAACUGGCGAUGGGGUCCUCACUGGGGAUGGAAUGAUUUUGCUCCCCGGCUGGUAUCUGGAUCAGGCACGCUCCGCCCCAGCAGCACCUCCCCCAUGGGUUUGUGAUUCUGAACAGUCGCACCGGGCUUCCUGCUAGCGUCUUCACAUCCAGCCACUCUACCACAGCCAUGGCAUGGUGCUGACCCAGCUCGUUGCCUCCUAACAGAAA